rnacentral:rRNA from 1 species
AGAGUUUGAUUCUGGCUCAGGACGAACGCUGGCGGCGUGCUUAACACAUGCAAGUCGAACGGGAUUGGCAAGCUUGCUUGCCAUGAGAGUGGCGAACGGGUGAGUAAUGGGUGACUAACCUGCCCUUUGCACCGGAAUAGCUCCUGGAAACGGGUGGUAAUGCCGGAUAACCUGCACUUCCGCAUGGAAGUGCAGAAAAGGCUUCGGCCGGCAAAGGAUGGAGUCGCUUCCUAUCAGCUUGAUGGCGGGGCAACGGCCCACCAUGGCAACGACGGGUAGCCGGCCUGAGAGGGUGACCGGCCACAUUGGGACUGAGAUACGGCCCAGACUCCUACGGGAGGCAGCAGUGGGGAAUAUUGCGCAAUGGGCGAAAGCCUGACGCAGCGACGCCGCGUGCGGGAUGAAGGCCUUCGGGUUGUAAACCGCUUUUGGAGGCAAAAAAGCGAGAGCGAUGGUAACCUCCGAAUAAGGACCGGCUAACUACGUGCCAGCAGCCGCGGUAAUACGUAGGGUUCAAGUGUUGUCCGGAAUUAUUGGGCGUAAAGGGCUUGUAGGCGGCCGGUCGCGUCUGGUGUGAAAUUCCGCCGCCCAACGGCGGAACUGCGCUGGAUACGGGCCGGCUAGAGUGCGGCAGGGGGGACUGGAAUUCCUGGUGUAACGGUGGAAUGUGUAGAUAUCAGGAAGAACACCAAUGGCGAAGGCAGGUCCCUGGGCCGCAACUGACGCUGAGGAGCGAAAGCGUGGGGAGCAAACAGGAUUAGAUACCCUGGUAGUCCACGCCGUAAACGGUGGAUGCUUGAUGUGGGGCCCCCUCCUAAGGGCUCCGUGUCGUAGCUAACGUGAUAAGCAUCCCGCCUGGGGGAGUACGGCCGCAAGGCUAAAACUCAAAGAAAUUGACGGGGACCCGCACAAGCGGCGGAGCAUGCGGAUUAAUUCGAUGCAACGCGAAAAACCUUACCUGGGCUUGACAUGACAGUGACAGCCGGUAAAAGCCGGCCUCCCUUCGGGGCACUGCCACAGGUGGUGCAUGGCCGUCGUCAGCUCGUGUCGUGAGAUGUUGGGUUAAGUCCCGCAACGAGCGCAACCCUUGCCCCGUGUUGCCAGCGAGUAAUGUCGGGCACUCUCGGGGGACCGCCGGAGUCAAUCCGGAGGAAGGCGAGGAUGACGUCAGGUCAUCAUGCCCCUUACGUCCAGGGCUUCACGCAUGCUACAAUGGCCGGCACAACGGGAUGCGAUAGGGCGACCUGGAGCAGAUCCCUUAAAGCCGGUCUCAGUUCGGAUUGGAGCCUGCAACCCGGCUCCAUGAAGUCGGAGUCGCUAGUAAUCGCGGAUCAGCAUUGCCGCGGUGAAUGCGUUCCCGGGUCUUGUACACACCGCCCGUCAAGUCAUGAAAGUCGGCAACACCCGAAGUGCGUAGCCCAACCGGCUUAUGCCGGAGGGAGCGCCCUAAGGUGGGGUCGGCGAUUGGGACUAAGUCGUAACAAGGUAACC